rnacentral:rRNA from 1 species
UACGUAGGGCGCAAGCGUUGUCCGGAAUUAUUGGGCGUAAAGAGCUCGUAGGCGGUUUGUCGCGUCUGUCGUGAAAGCUUGGGGCUUAACCCCAAGUCUGCGGUGGCUACGGGCAGACUAGAGGCAGGUAGGGGAGAACGGAAUUCCCGGUGUAGCGGUGAAAUGCGCAGAUAUCGGGAGGAACACCGGUGGCGAAGGCGGUUCUCUGGGCAUUAACUGACGCUGAGGAGCGAAAGCAUGGGGAGCGAACAGG